rnacentral:tRNA from 1 species
GUCUUCGUAGUGUAGGGGUUAUCACGCGAGUCUAACACACUCGAGGUCCCCGGUUCGAGACCGGGCGAAGACA